rnacentral:lncRNA from 1 species
CGCUUUUGGCACAACAGCUGUGUACCUAUGUAGAGGAGCUGGCCUUGCAAGGCAAACUCCAUGGAUCUUCUCACCUCGACAUCCUCCAAAACUCCUCAAAACUCUAAAUCCAACUUGUAUAUGUCAGUGUACUCCUCAUGCAACAUCGGUUGAAUCUACAUAAAAGCUGAUGAACACAAGGAGGCAACAGGAGGUCGAGAUAACAUAUCUACAAGCUUAUUUUGUGCCCCCUUUUUGUACUUGAUGAUGAUGUUGUAUUGUUGAAGGUAUGUCAUCCACUUC